ensembl:lncRNA
GGGACGCCGGGCAAACUGAAUCGCAUAGCCGAAGCUGAUGGCCUUGCAGAAGCCAGCGAGAUGGGCUUGGUAGUGCUGACCAGGCGCUUAGAAACCGUACAAGCGGGACCAGCAGAACCACAGCCGUACCCGCAGCGGGGCAGUGAGGUGGAACACAGGGACCCACUCGGGCGGCUUGUGAGCGGGCCGGAGAGGGGUGUGAGUGUGGGGUGCAAGGCUCACCUGGUUCCACAGGUUGGCAGAGGGUGCGUGAGUAGGGCCUUCAUUGAUGCUCUCGAACCGCCCGCUGCUGCCAUCUGGCAAAGGAGGAGGAUGAGUGAGGUCCGGUGCUUGGCCAACUUCUGGAUCGUGACCACCCUCGUGCAGGUCCUUCAGUGCCUUGGCCUGGUGCACCUGCAGUAAUGCCACAGUGUGUAAGGCAGAAGCAGCUUCCCCGCAAGCCAUAUAGGCACCGCCGGUUAGACCAGACGAAUGCCUUUAGGCCCAGGAAGAAAGGCCCUGAAAACCAUCACGAGCCACCUUGAGAAACCAAUCAUCCUGCCUCGAGGGCUUGGGACACGGUGGAGAUUUCCACUCGAGCCCUACCCUCUCGGCAGCCCGGGAAAGCAUAGCUGUCAUCUCUGGAUCCAAUUCAGGCUUUGCCACCAUCCUAGAGGCGGCAGCGCAGCCGAAUCUUCAUCUGACAGCUCUCCCUCCAAUGCUGAGAUCGACAUCUGGUCGGUGGGAGGCCCACUGGAUACCGCUGGUACGCUCUUUGAAGAGGGCCCAGCGCGUUCCGUGGGUUACUCCACUGGAUCGGAGAUGCAAGAGGAGUGAUGGUCCCCAGAGGGUUGGUUCCCUGCGGGGUUUGCCACCACUGUAAUCCUCAAACCGCCCGUGCUACUGCUGGAAGUGGAUCUCGUCUGUCGGCCGCCAGAACGAGCCCCAGAUUGUGGCAGUGGCAAUGGGACUCCGCCCCCUUUUUUGAAGGUAGCAGUGGGAACAUGACUCAUCCACGAAAGCUACCUCAGCGUGUUUGCCC